rnacentral:ncRNA from 1 species
CGCCCGUCACACUAUAGGAGCUGGCCAUGUUUGACGUCAUUACCCUUAACCGUAAGGAGGGGGAUGCCUAAGGCUAGGCUUGCGACCGGGGUGAAGUCGUAACAAGGUAGCCGUAGGGGAACCUGUGGCUGGAUUGAAUCCUUC